GUCCACGCCGUAAACGAUGUCGAUUUGGAGGCUGUGUCCUUGAGACGUGGCUUCCGGAGCUAACGCGUUAAAUCGACCGCCUGGGGAGUACGGCCGCAAGGUUAAAACUCAAAUGAAUUGACGGGGGCCCGCACAAGCGGUGGAGCAUGUGGUUUAAUUCGAUGCAACGCGAAGAACCUUACCUGGCCUUGACAUGUCUGGAACCUGGUAGAGAUACCGGGGUGCCUUCGGGAAUCAGAACACAGGUGCUACAUGGCUGUCGU
rnacentral:rRNA from 1 species